UACAGAGAUCUCAAGCGUUGUUCGGAUUCAUUGGGCGUAAAGGGUGCGUAGGCGGUGAGGUAAGUCAGGUGUGAAAUCCCGGGGCUCAACUCCGGAACUGCAUUUGAUACUGCCUUGCUAGAGUACUGGAGAGGAGAUUGGAAUUUACGGUGUAGCAGUGAAAUGCGUAGAUAUCGUAAGGAAGACCAGUGGCGAAGGCGAAUCUCUGGACAGUUACUGACGCUGAGGCACGAAGGCCAGGGGAGCAAACGGG
rnacentral:rRNA from 1 species